AUGUAUAUACAUGCAAAAUUUAAUUAUACACACACACACACACACACACACACACACACACACACAUAUUUAUAUGUUGUCAUACAGUAUAGUAUAUGCAAUUCAUUGAGUGUUCAUAUAUGGAUGGGGGCUCAGAUGGGAGCUGAUGCAGUCAGAACAGACAUGAGAGCAGACAGCAGGACGAUCUGUCACCGCUCUGUGUGUGUGUGUGUGUGUUUCAUUUUCUCAUGCAUGUUUUCUAGAGUUCUCUGUUGGCUGACAAAUAUCAGUACAUUUUCAAUGCUGAAGCAGGUGGCUAUUUUUCUCUUAAAAAUAAACGUAAAAAUGAAUACAAAGACAUUUUUAACAAUAAUAUAUAUUUUUAUUUUAUUUUAAGUAUUUUAAGGAGCAUUGAUGGAGUGAUGUUGUACGGUCUCAGUAAAGUAUGACAGAUUGUGUUGAUCUGUUGCAUCCUCCACAAACCAACAAUAAGCUGCAGGAUGGGGAACUGAGGCAUGCACAUUUCUGCAUUUUUGAGGACUUCAUGACUACAUUUGUGCCAUUAUUAUUUUUUGUUUAGUGUAAUAAAGUCCACCAGUGAGGUAAGGGAGAGUAACAGCAUCCUACCCACCGACAUCUUCAUCUCCUCAAAUCUCCAACUCCAACCUCCAGACUGAACACUGAUCUGAACUAUCAUCAUCUUGAAAAACUGUCUGACAGGCCGUCAUGACUGACUCAGAACUUGUUAGUGACUCUGAAGCAGUGCAUUCAUUAUAUGGGGUUUUCUCACCUGUGUAAAGGUCAGGCGCUCCGUGUUUUACAUCCACUGACCUUUACAACCUCUCAGUGAUUUCACAGAGAGAGCAGAAAUCCAGACAGAUGAAGGUGUUAAUUAAACGGCCCUGCAUAAUGUUGAGAAAGAAAUAUCUGCACCUUCCCAAGAGGCCACACAAAUUUAUCUCCGCAGCGAGGGCUGUGACACAAGCCCAAAGUUACACAUGGAAAUGAGUCCUCAUCGUUCAACAGAUCUCUACGCCAGACUCCCGCGCAAAAAAAAUUACAAUAAUCUCAACUUUGAGACACAAGCACCUUUUGCAGAUUCUCUAAUUGCAGGAUAACACUCUUUGUAAGCACAACAGUCCUGAGCUGCACAUUUUCAUAGAAUUUUAAGGGAAUAUCCUGUGCCAGUGUGGUGUAGAUUUAGUUUUGAGUGAGUAAAACACACGUUUCCUACAUUUUGCACUUCAAACACAUGCAAAUAUAAAAAACGGCUGACAACGACUUCUGCUAACAGAGUGGAUUGAGUGUGUUAAUGAAAUGAACUAAAGAAGACGACAGUGACUUCCAGAGGGCAGGAGAGACGUCUACACACUUAAUCUGACUGAUAAUAAAGGCAGACUAAUAAUACCGCUGUCAUUGACUGCUAAUCCACAGACUUACUGUCAUGUCAUGCUAAAAUCAUUUGAGCCCCACAAAAUUAAAAGACAUGUCACUUCUCAUGCAUCCAAGAGCACUUCUAAAAGUUACAUUAUGAGCUGAGCCUCAAACCUCUUACAACACCAUAAAAUGAUAUUUGGUGUAUUACUGUUCAAAUUGGUCAUAAGCAUGAAAAUAGGUCAAUAUCGCAUAAAAACAGCUGUGGGUGGGUUUUAUUUAAAAGUGCAAAUAUCACACACACACACAAAAAAAUAAUAAAUUGCAUGUGCGUGUUUAUUAUUAGCUUCCUUUCCGUUUUGUAAUAUUUAUCCGACUGGAAGCUUCAUCCUGUAGAUAAUGUGGAUGAAGAUCACUGAAUCUUACUUUAACUGCAUGCCACUGAAUUCUGUUCCUGUGAAAACGAUUAUCAACAUUAGCCAACAGUUUUUAUCUGAUUAAAAUUCCCUAUAACUGAAUUUUUACGUAUAAUCGUAGUCUUUAGUGCCUCUGUGAGUGCUGGGAAUCGGUUAAAUGUGUUUGCGAAAGGCUGGUGUUUGUGUGUGUGUGAUCUGAAAUGCUUCACCAAACAAAGAGACUCCCGAAACCAAAGCAAAACACCUUCAAAUUCAAGACAAAAUACAACACCCACUGAAUCGUCUCGCAGCGUUUAAUUUAUCUACGGCACAGGAAAUUGAGCUCAGUCCUCGCAGCGGCGUCUGCCCACAUUCACACACACACACACACACACACACACACAUAAUAUUCUCCAACAUCAACAAAACCAAACACCUCCACACACCAUCUGACUCUCUUUGACGCGCUUGGCUCCGCCGAGGGGCCGGAAUAGCUGCGGAUUGUUGGCCUGAGGACAGAGCGCUGACAACAACGCCCGCUUAUGUGCCGAGGACAGAAUUCAUCUGUCUAAAUGGGGCAUCGGCUUUUCAAGAGCUCCAAAUCGCCACAAUCCUACUGCCUUAUGCAGCGAAUCUCUCUCAUGCCCCACCGAAUGCCUGGCGUUUGACGGUCACUCAUCUCUUGCGGUGCUCAGUUCAUUGUGCAGGACAGACGGGCUGAGCGCGGCGCUCCGCUCCAGAUGGGCCCGAGCGCGGCUCCGGCAUUCUGCGUGGCUGCAAGGACACUAACGGGGAUGAUUUGCAUACUAAUCUAUGGCUGCAAAUAUUCAGCCUUGCUAAUGAAAUAAUAGCCUGCUCUUCAUUUACAUAAUAAAAUAAUUAUUGUGUCUGAUAAAUCCUCAAGGGCACAGCCUGUUCACAGUCCCCAAUAAACACGGGUUAACAACUCCAUCCCUGCACGCUCAUAAACACCCGCUUAUUAAUAGUGAUUGAAAAAGAGACAAUCUCUACAAAAGGACUCAAAUCAGCCCACAUUCUCAAAUUAAAACUCAGAAAUCGAUUCCUAAUAUUGCAAACUAGCCAGAUGUGGAAAACAGUAUGGUGAUGAAGCUCCUGAACCAAAUUGAAAAACACAAAUAAUGAUCCAAUCAAGAUGAAGAAACACAAAUAGCGCUUGUGUUGUUUUCGUUAAAAUGGGAAAAUGUUAUUUUACAGAAGGUUAGUCACAGACAGCGUCAGAUUAAUCAACUUCACUGGAGAUCUCGUUCUGCACUGCUCUGUUUUAUUCUGUUAAGCUUUAUUCUACUCCGUUCAGAUCUGGUCCAUUCUGUUCUCCACUAUUAAGAUCUGCGGUUUCGUCUUUUACCUACACUUCUAAUUGUGAAAGCAGAGUUUUUAACCCUUGCAGUGUCGAAAUGCUGCUAGAAUGUCAGCGUAGUAACAGACCAACAAAUCAUAAAUUCAAUAAUGGUUACUUUAUGAGCUUUACAAAGCAGCAAAACCUUUAAAGCCAUGUUCGGCUUCAGAUGAAACUGUGAAGACACAUUAACUGAAGUGAUACUCUGGGUUAUUUUUAUAGUUUUGCCUCAAAACGUCUGUAAGGCAAACUGAUGCUAGUGAAAAAGUAAACUCAGGUUUCUCCAUGACUUACUAAAAAUGACCUUGGUUUCACAGUUUUACAUGUGAAAGCCUGCAGCCACAUAAUAUGACGGUCAACGGUGUUAAAGAAAGAGAUAAAACCCAAACGACUCUGCGACUUCUGUGACUUUCAAAACCAAACAGACAGCUGUGACGACGGCUAAAUGGCUUCUCUCACUUUCACCUAAAACAAAAUGUGCAAUUAUGUAGAAAUAACAAAAGGUGACACUUGUCUGUAAGUAAACAAUGCGUGUCACUUCCUCCGCUGUGCCUGAAUGCUUCGAUUCACGGCUGCAGAGCAUUUUGACCACAGCUUUAUGGAUGUUUUAGGCAAUUUGUGUGUACUUCAUUGUUUGUUCGUCGAGUGGACCGAGAGUCUAAUCUCGCAAUUAACAUUAUUCCUGCAAAAAGGGAGAAGCAGUCUUCUUGAAGGGCACAACGUUAUUUUCUGCUUUUAGAGCAAAAUGUCACAAGCGCACACAUUGUAAAUGGAUUUCCUACCAAUUAAAACGGCUGAAAGCAACACCUUCAGAGACUGUCACAAUAUUCCUUAACCCCCUCGCUGAAAGCACUGUCGGCACGCCUGCACAAAAUCCCUGAAUCACUAUACUCACCACGGCCAUUUGCAUGCCAAUUAAAGAGCGCUGCUGUACACAGAGAUAACGAAAUAAAUAUAUCUGUCAAAAAUAAACUAACAGGACUGAGCAGGAUCAUUUUCAUUACUGCAUUACAGAAUUUGGGGUGUAAAACAGUCUGGCUUUAUUUUCUUUAUGCAUGAUGUAAAUUGUUCUUUAUAGAGAUUUGAGGCUGAAAUACGAGCUGAACGUUCAGUGUGAGAGCUGCGUCGGGUGCAGAUGAUGUUUUACAGCUAGAAAACCUCUGCAUGACAUCAACACACCCCUGACCUGCUCCAGCAGACCCUCGCAUCUGCCUUCGGUCUCACGAGGGGAUCGCUGAGCCUUUACAAAUCACUGCUGAAGAGGUUCACACAGAGCUAAACACAGACCUCGCUGAGGUGUGGGACGUGAGCGAAAGAGAGAAAGCAGUAGCUGAAAUCAGACACUGGCACGUCCAAGCCCUGGGACUUUAAACAGAGCCAAUGAAGCCCUGCAGAGGUGAGCCUUUGAAAAUCGUUCAGCUCUGUUCAGUCCUUCACUGUGAUUGAUCAGCAUUCUGGGAUUAAAUAUUACGGAAUAAAACAAAAAAGAAAUACAGGAUUUCUGUACAGACAAAUUCUUAAUUUUACCUUUUCAAAUCACUUCAUUUACCAAAAUAAUUCCACUUCAUUUAUCAAAAUAAAUCAACACUAUACCAAGUUUGUAAUAGUAAUAUUAAUAGCAAAAUAAUUUUUUAGAGUAAUGCAUUUAAGCAGGAAAAUACUAUUUCAGUCUUUCUACUUUAGAAUAUCAUGCUUAUUUCAUGUCUUACUUGCCAUUUCUUUGUAAAACUUGCCAGUUCUUUAUUGAUGAUGUUUUUGUUGUUGUUGUUUUCCCUGAAUCCAUGGAAAGAAGCAGUAAACACUUAAAUAUCAGGUAUGAUUUACUUGUUGAACAGAAUCUGUUUUCAGGAAUGACUCAAAGUCAGUUCACAUCUCUGGGGUUAGAUCAGUAUGCUCAAUAAUGUGUCUUUGACCUUCAUUAUGUAUGUUUUGAUUAUACGGUGUUGUAAAUAAAAUGCAAAUAAUUUAAAAAGCCAUUUUUCAGUCUCCUCACAUUCUGUCUUACCUGCCACACAGUCACAUGACUCACUGAUGGGCCAUUAGUGGAGGGCCCCUUGUCUCUCAGGUGUGAAUCACUAAAUAUUCAUGGCCAUUGUCACUCCCUCGCAUAAAGCUAGUCUAUCACAAAACAUGUCUUACAAAAUUUAAAUCAAUAUUUUGUUUUGUUUUUUUGUGAAUGAAUAAGCAGAAUGAUUUUCACUA
rnacentral:lncRNA from 1 species